rnacentral:rRNA from 1 species
GCGAACGCUGGCGGCAGGCUUAACACAUGCAAGUCGAACGGGCGUAGCAAUACGUCAGUGGCAGACGGGUGAGUAACGCGUGGGAACGUACCUUUUGGUUCGGAACAACACAGGGAAACUUGUGCUAAUACCGGAUAAGCCCUUACGGGGAAAGAUUUAUCGCCAAAAGAUCGGCCCGCGUCUGAUUAGCUAGUUGGUGAGGUAAUGGCUCACCAAGGCGACGAUCAGUAGCUGGUCUGAGAGGAUGAUCAGCCACAUUGGGACUGGGACACGGCCCAAACUCCUACGGGAGGCAGCAGUGGGGAAUAUUGGACAAUGGGCGCAAGCCUGAUCCAGCCAUGCCGCGUGAGUGAUGAAGGCCCUAGGGUUGUAAAGCUCUUUUACCCGGGAUGAUAAUGACAGUACCGGGAGAAUAAGCUCCGGCUAACUCCGU